rnacentral:rRNA from 1 species
UCCGUAGGUGAACCUGCGGAAGGAUCAUUAUUGAAUUAAUGUAGAGUUUGGUUGUAGCUGGCUCCUAAUUAAACUUGGGGGCAUGUGCACACCUUUCUCUUUCAUCCCAUACACACCUGUGCACCUGUGAGACAGAUGUUUUGUGGGGGGGAAGGAACUUUAUUGGACCUUCUACUCCCCCUUGACUUCUGUCUACUUAAUUCAUAUAAACUCAAUUUAUUUUAAAACGGAUGUAAUGGAUGUAACACAUCUAAUACUAAGUUUCAACAACGGAUCUCUUGGCUCUCGCAUCGAUGAAGAACGCAGCGAAAUGCGAUAAGUAAUGUGAAUUGCAGAAUUCAGUGAAUCAUCGAAUCUUUGAACGCACCUUGCGCUCCUUGGUAUUCCUUGGAGCAUGCCUGUUUGAGUAUCAUGAAAUCUUCAAAGUCAAACCUUUUGUUAAUUCAAUUGGUUCUGCUUUGGUAUUGGAGGAUUAUUGCAGCUUCACACCUGCUCCUCUUUGUGCAUUAGCUGGAUCUCAGUGUUAUGCUUGGUUCCACUCAGCGUGAUAAGUUAUCUAUCGCUGAGGACACCCUGUUAAAAAGGGGUGGCCAAGGUAAAUGCAGAUGAACCGCUUCUAAUAGUCCAUUGACUUGGACAAUAUCUAAUUUAUGAUCUGUCUCACAUCAGGUAGGACUACCCGCUGAACUUAAGCAUAUCAAUAAGCGGAGGA